CCUCGAAAGGGGUGCUAAUACCGCAUAACACUUCAGCUGGGAGGCUGAGGUUAAAAGGAGCGAUUCGCUUCUAGAGGGGUCCGCGCCUGAUUAGCUAGUUGGUGGGGUAACGGCUCACCAAGGCGACGAUCAGUAGCCGUCCUGAGAGGGAGCACGGCCACACUGGAACUGAGACACGGUCCAGACUCCUACGGGAGGCAGCAGUGGGGAAUUUUUGGCAAUGGGGGAAACCCUGACCAAGCAACGCCGCGUGGGUGAUGAAGUAUCUUGGUACGUAAAACCCUUUCGGCAGGGACGAACGCAAUGACGGUACCUGCGGAAGAAGCUCCGGCUAACUCCGUGCCAGCAGCCGCGGUAAUACGGGGGGAGCGAGCGUUGUUCGGAAUUACUGGGCGUAAAGGGCGCGCAGGCGGUUGGAUAAGAGAGUGGUGAAAACCCCGGGCUCAACCUGGGGCCGGCCAUUCAGACUGUCCGGCUGGAGUGUGGGAGAGGGAAGUGGAAUUCCUGGUGUAGCGGUGAAAUGCGUAGAUAUCAGGAGGAACACCGGUGGCGAAGGCGGCUUCCUGGACCACAACUGACGCUGAGGCGCGAAAGCCAGGGGAGCAAACAG
rnacentral:rRNA from 1 species